UGGCGACCGGCGCACGGGUGAGUAACGCGUAUCCAACCUUCCCGCGACCAAGGGAUAACCUGCCGAAAGGCAGACUAAUACCUUAUGUCCUCCUUUGAAGGCAUCUGACGAGGAGCAAAGAUCCGUCGGUCACGGAUGGGGAUGCGUCCGAUUAGCUUGUUGGCGGGGCAACGGCCCACCAAGGCAUCGAUCGGUAGGGGUUCUGAGAGGAAGGCCCCCCACACUGGAACUGAGACACGGUCCAGACUCC
rnacentral:rRNA from 1 species